rnacentral:lncRNA from 1 species
AAUAAACAUCAAAUUGGACAUGAACUUCCUCUACUGUGAUAAUGUCAUGUUUUUUGGACCUUAAAGUUGGCUCUCUUCUAAGUGAAAAGAUCCAUGAUAUUAAAGAGCUAUAGAGCCUUGCUAUUUAAAAGUGUGUUCCAGGGACCAGCUGCAUUGACAUCACCCAGAAGCUUACUGUGAAUGUAAGAUCUGAGGCUCAGUCCGGACCUACAGAUUUACUAUUGAUUUGCACGCACAACACAUUUGAGAGACAUACAAAUAGAGCUUCUGAAGAGAUCAAAGACCUGCAGACUGCGUAAGUGACAGAAGAAAUGGGCUUCCCUACAUAACUUCAUAUUUGUGACAGUUAACACCAGCAGUUUUCAAAUCUGUCAAACUAAUAUAAUGGUUUCUAAAUUAGUCAUGGUGAUAGACUAUAUUAUUGUUACUAAGCCUGUAUUCCUUCCUGUUGAGGAAUAUAAAAUAUACCUCACCAUCCUAUUGAUGUCAGACAUGGCCAACUUGCUUUGCCCAAUGAACCAUAUAUGUCUUCCAGGUGGAAGUGUUUGGAGCCAAAAUUGUACUUCUUAGCUCUCUUUUCUAUCUCAAAACCAGAGAUCUUCCAUAUAGUGGCUGCUCCAUCAACAUGUAUUCCAGAAGAAAGGUGUAAUUCCUAAAAGAUUAUUCCACAUAGACACAUGUGGGCACAUGAGUCAGGCUAUUCCCAUUUCUACUCUUAGUUAAAUUAUUAUGCUUGGGAGCUUAAAAAAUUAUUCAACAAUUCAUGCAUAAAAAGCAAAUCAUCUACUAGGGGAAAUGGAAAAGAAUCUGGCUGGCUUGCAUGAGACUUCUCUACUGAAACAUUACUCAGUG